rnacentral:rRNA from 1 species
AGGGAAUAGAUACCCCGGUAGUCCACGCUGUAAACGAUGAGUGCUGGACAUUGGCGGGUUUACCUGCCGGUGUCGCAGCUAAACGCGUUAAGCACUCCGCCUGGGGAGUACGGCCGCAAGGUUAAAACUCAAAGGAAUUGACGGGGGCCCGCACAAGCGGUGGAGCAUGUGGUUUAAUUCGACGCAACGCGCAGAACCUUACCAGCCCUUGACAUGGGCGGACGGGGUCCAGAGAUGGACUCUUUCUCGCAAGAGACCGCUACACAGGUGCUGCAUGGCUGUCGUCAGCUCGUGUCGUGAGAU